rnacentral:tRNA from 1 species
GGAGGGGUAGCUCAGUGGUAGAGCAGCUGCCUAGCAAGAAUAGGGUCCUAGGUUCAAACCCUAGUACUUCCC